GAUGGCGACCGGCGCACGGGUGAGUAACACGUAUCCAACCUGCCGAUGACUCGGGGAUAGCCUUUCGAAAGAAAGAUUAAUACCGGAUGGCAUACGAAUAUCGCAUGAUAUUUUUAUUUAAAGAAUUUCGGUUAUCGAUGGGGAUGCGUUCCAUUAGUUUGUUGGCGGGGUAACGGGCCCACCAAGACUACGAUGGAUAGGGGUUCUGAGAGGAAGGUCCCCCACAUUGGAACUGAGACACGGUCCAAACUCCUACGGGAGGCAGCAUG
rnacentral:rRNA from 1 species